rnacentral:rRNA from 1 species
CAGUCGCCGCGGGAAAACGUAGGGCGCAAGCGUUAUCCGGAAUUAUUGGGCGUAAAGAGCUCGUAGGCGGUUUGUCGCGUCUGCCGUGAAAGUCCGGGGCUCAACCCCGGAUCUGCGGUGGGUACGGGCAGACUAGAGUGAUGUAGGGGAGACUGGAAUUCCUGGUGUAGCGGUGAAAUGCGCAGAUAUCAGGAGGAACACCGAUGGCGAAGGCAGGUCUCUGGGCAUUAACUGACGCUGAGGAGCGAAAGCAUGGGGAGCGAACAGGAUUAGAUACCCCCGUAGUCCCUGUCUCUUAUAC